GGACAGAUGGCCGAGUUGGUCUAAGGCGCUACGUUCAGGUCGUAGUAUCUCCGGAUGCGAGGGUUCGAAUCCCUCUCUGUCCA